UGGGGAAUAUUGCACAAUGGACGGAAGUCUGAUGCAGCAACGCCGCGUGCGGGAUGACGGCCUUCGGGUUGUAAACCGCUUUUUCUCAUGACGAAGUUUUUUGACGGUAGUGGGGGAAGAAGCACCGGCUAACUACGUGCCAGCAGCCGCGGUGAUACGUAGGGUGCGAGCGUUGUCCGGAAUUAUUGGGCGUAAAGAGCUUGUAGGUGGUUUGUCGCGUCGAUAGUGCAAACUCAGUGCUUAACGCUGAGCCUGCUGUUGAUACGGGCAGACUAGAGGAAGGUAGGGGAGAAUGGAAUUCCCGGUGGAGCGGUGGAAUGCGCAGAUAUCGGGAGGAACACCGGUGGCGAAGGCGGUUCUCUGGGCCUUUCCUGACGCUGAGAAGCGAAAGCGUGGGGAGCGAACAGG
rnacentral:rRNA from 1 species